rnacentral:rRNA from 1 species
UACGUAGGGUGCAAGCGUUAAUCGGAAUUACUGGGCGUAAAGCGUGCGCAGGCGGUUUUGUAAGUCUGUCGUGAAAUCCCCGGGCUCAACCUGGGAAUUGCGAUGGAGACUGCAAGGCUAGAAUCUGGCAGAGGGGGGUAGAAUUCCACGUGUAGCAGUGAAAUGCGCAGAUAUCAGGAGGAACACCGAUGGCGAAGGCAGCUCGCUGGGACGGUACUGACGC